UACAGAGACUGCAAGCGUUAUUCGGAUUCACUGGCGUAAAGGGUGCGCAGGCGGCCAAGUGUGUGAGGCGUGAAAGCCUGGGGCUUAACUCCAGAAUUGCACCUCAAACUACAUGGCUAGAGCAUUGGAGAGGGUAGCAGAAUUCACGGUGUAGCAGUGAAAUGCGUAGAUAUCGUGAGGAAUACCAGAGGCGAAGGCGGCUACCUGGACAAUUGCUGACGCUCAGGCACGAAAGCGUGGGGGAGCAAAAGGG
rnacentral:rRNA from 1 species